rnacentral:rRNA from 1 species
CGCAUCUGUGCAUGCAGCAUAUCAAUAAGCGGAGGAAAAGAAACUAACAAGGAUUCCCUUAGUAACGGCGAGUGAAGCGGGAAGAGCUCAAAUUUGAAAUCUUCAAGGUUUUACCUUGACGAAUUGUAGUUUAAAGAAGUGUUUUCUGUUGAAGUUUUGGUAAAAGUUCUUUGGAAUAGGACAUCAUAGAGGGUGAGAAGUCCCGUAUUUGACCAUUAUUUUCAGCUGUGUGAUACACUUUCAAAGAGUCGGAUUGUUUGGGAAUGCAGUCCAAAAUGGGUGGUAAAUUUCAUCUAAAGCUAAAUAUUGGCGAGAGACCGAUAGCGAACAAGUACCGUGAGGGAAAGAUGAAAAGAACUUUGAAAAGAGAGUUAAACAGUACGUGAAAUUGUCAAAAGGGAAGCGUUUGACACCAGUGUUGUUUUCUCGAAAAUCAAUUAAAAAGAGUUAGAUUUUGUUGUGUAUUGACCUUAACAGCUUGCAUUUCAAUUUUCUUGCUUUUUUUAAUGCACUUUUCGUUUAACAAGUCAACAUCAGUUUCUUUUGUUGUAAAAAGGUCAUUGGAAGGUGGCUUUCUUUUCGGAAGAAAGUGUUUAUAGCCUUUGACUCCUGCAAUCGGAGAGACUGAGGUCUGCAGCGUAGAUCCUUCGGGGUUAGAUACAUUUGUGCUAAGUUAUAGCUUUUUAUAGACAACUUGUUGACUAUGAUUAGUCUUGUAGCUUACUCGCUUAUGCUAUUUUACCUACGCUUAGGAUGUUGAACUCUAUCACACACA